UACGUAGGGGGCAAGCGUUGUCCGGAAUCAUUGGGCGUAAAGAGCGUGUCGGCGGCCCGGUAAGUCCGCUGUGAAAGUCCAGGGCUCAACCCUGGGAUGCCGGUGGAUACUGUCGGGCUCGAGUCCGGAAGAGGAGUGUGGAAUUCCUGGUGUAGCGGUGAAAUGCGCAGAUAUCAGGAGGAACACCAAUGGCGAAGGCAGCACUCUGGGACGUGACUGACGCUGAGACGCGAAAGCGUGGGGAGCAAACAGG
rnacentral:rRNA from 1 species